rnacentral:tRNA from 1 species
GGUCCUGUAGCUCAGUCGGAGAGCGUGGUGCUAAUAACGCCAAGGUCGCGAGUUCGACCCUCGUCGGGACCA